CCAUUAUUUAAAAGUACAGACAUUUUUGGGUUAUAUGCCAGGGGCAGACAACAUGUGCACAUUUUGGCCUAAUCAUUGUUUUGUGAUGGAUAUGUUACAAGGUAAAGGUCAAGGUUGUAAAAGACUACUAUUGGUCAGUGAAGUUUGUGUUGUCAGGCAGAAGUCAAGGUUGUUCAAUUCUAUGUUGUUUGGUGAUGUUUAUGUUGCCAGAUAAAGGUCUAGGUUGUAAAAGACUGCUUUUGGUCUGUGAAAUUUAUGUUGUCAGGCAAAAGUCAAGGUUGUUCAAGUCUAUAUUGUUUGGUGAUCUUUAUGUUGCAAGGCAAAGGUCAAGGUUGUGAAAGUAUUAUUGAUCUGUGAUGUUUAUCAUUAUGUUGUCAGUCAGGCAUAAUAUUGUUCCAUAAUGUUUAUGUUACAAAGAAAAGGUCAAGGUUGCAAUAGUCUACAUUAAUGCAUUCUUAAAAUAUUUAUUAGAAUAGUGUAAUUGAAAUCCAUUGAUCAAACCAAUUUCUAACUUAUUUCAUGGGAAUACUUGUUGUUUUAAAGUAACUUGUCUUCAUUUCAUUUCAUUCGAAUUCAAGUUAUUUUAAAUAGUAUGUCAAUAUGUAGCUGUUGAUUCUUAUUACAUGUUUUUUCUCAAUUCUUUGAAAAAAAAAUUUUAUAUCCAUAGUGCAUAUUUUCCACAAAAAUAACAUCUUUGUACACAUUCCAUAAUUUAUACUGAUAUUUCUUAGUUAUUAAUUCUAAUAUUUUCCAUAAACGGACUGCAUAUAUAAGUUACUUUGAACAAACUUUUCUGACCAAAUGUAGUGCAUUAUAAUAUAUCAUAAUUAUUUAUGAAAUUUUUAUGUUCAAUCUCAAGAACAGUCAUCUUGCAAAGAGAAAUAGAAUCUCCAUAUUUGGGUAAUUUGUCUCAUUAUAUAACAUGCAUAAUACAUGUAUAUAUAUUUGUUAUUUAUAAUGUGUAUUGUCAAAGGGAGGUAACAAUGGAAUGAUUGUCAUUUUGUAAUGUCAUGGUUAUCUCUCUUAACUUUGUAAGUGUAAAUGAUGAUAGUCAGGUUUAUAAGAUGUGAGUCUGCAGUAUCUUGUCAAAAUGAAGUUGUAAAAAAGAAAAAUCUCAUUUGACAAAUGUAUCCUAUUCAUGUGAUAUGCAUGUCCAUUUCAAUCCAAUAUUUAUAUAUUUGAUAUUUUUUUAGAGAAGGCUAAAUAAAAGAUAUAAUAAAUACAA